rnacentral:lncRNA from 1 species
GGAAAAUUAAAGUUAAAAUAUUUAUUGAUAAAAUUGUGGGGCACUCAUAAACAAGAAUUAUGGCAUUUGCCAGUAAAAGAAUGGUACUGUAAAAGAAGGGAACUGCUAAGUGAAAUAAUCCAGUCCCUCCAAAAAUCAAAGUCAGAAUGUUCUCUUUGAUAUGUGAAUGCUAACCCACAACAAGAAAGGGGAAGAUUAGAAGUUUACUAUGAAGGGCAGAGAGGGAGGAUGAGAAUAAAAAAGAGAGUAGAAUGAACCAAACGUAUCUUUCCUAUCCUUACAUAUGAAUAGACAACCAAUGUAACUCCAUAUCAUAUACAACCAUAAUCAUGGGAUCCUAAUUGGAACAAGUUAUACUUAUUCUAUGUAUGUAUAAUAUAUCAAAAUACACUUUACUGUCAUGUGUAUCUAGAAAGAAACAAACAAACCAGCAUGUUUAUGGACCAUCUGGCCCAGACUUGCUCCCAUCAUUCCCUAAACUGGCUAGCUUUUUAGGAACAGAAAGGGGGCAUUCACUGUCCUCUCACUAACUCCAGUUGAUUUUUCUAACAAUUACUCAGCACCAUGCUAGGGUAUUUGCAUGAAUGAAUGGCAAAUAUUUUUAUGAGGAGGAUGAUAUUGAGGACCAUAUCUUCCUUAAACCUUAACUGUCAAAAAUAUCAAAGCAAAAUUUGAGUGCUGGUUUUAAUGACUAUGAUGGACUCUACUCUCUGGGUAUUUGUGCUUUUCCUUCUUCUAAUUAUAGAUUUACCUAGACCCAGGAUUCCAUUCAUUCUCUUAACCCUGUCCACAGCUCCUUGAGCACCCUGUAUGAAAGUUUCUUCACCUUACUCUCUUUCCUCCUCACAGAGCACAUGAAGUGCAUAUUUGUAAUUUUAUUUAUGAUAAAAAAGUAUUGCUAUCACAUUUGUUGUUCUUAUUGUUUUACUUGAUCAAUUAAGCAUAAAAAAUAUGCAACCAUGGGGCUGGCAUUGUGACUCAGCAGGAGAUACAGCACUCGCCUAGCACGUGCCAGGUGCUGGGUUGGAUCCUCAG